UACGGAGGAUGCAAGCGUUAUCCGGAAUGAUUGGGCGUAAAGCGUCCGCAGGUGGCUGUGUAAGUCUGCUGUCAAAGAGCAAAGCUCAACUUUGUAAAGGCAGUGGAAACUACACGGCUAGAGUGCGUUCGGGGCAGAGGGAAUUCCUGGUGUAGCGGUGAAAUGCGUAGAGAUCAGGAAGAACUCCGGUGGCGAAGGCGCUCUGCUAGGCCGCAACUGACACUGAGGGACGAAAGCUAGGGGAGCGAAUGGG
rnacentral:rRNA from 1 species